CAACCCUCAAGCUUUGCUUGGUGUUGGGCGUCACCAGCCUUGGUGUGCCCUAAAAUCAGUGGCGGCGCCGUCUGGCUCUAAGCGUAGUACAUGCUCUCGCUAUAGAUGCCCGGUGGAUGCUUGCCAGCAACCUCUAAUCUAUCAA
rnacentral:misc_RNA from 1 species